rnacentral:rRNA from 1 species
GAUGAACGCUGGCGGCGUGCCUAAUACAUGCAAGUCGAGCGAACAGAUGAGGAGCUUGCUCCUCUGACGUUAGCGGCGGACGGGUGAGUAACACGUGGAUAACCUACCUAUAAGACUGGGAUAACUUCGGGAAACCGGAGCUAAUACCGGAUAAUAUAUUGAACCGCAUGGUUCAAUAGUGAAAGACGGUUUUGCUGUCACUUAUAGAUGGAUCCGCGCCGCAUUAGCUAGUUGGUAAGGUAACGGCUUACCAAGGCAACGAUGCGUAGCCGACCUGAGAGGGUGAUCGGCCACACUGGAACUGAGACACGGUCCAGACUCCUACGGGAGGCAGCAGUAGGGAAUCUUCCGCAAAGGGCGAAAGCCUGACGGAGCAACGCCGCGUGAGUGAUGAAGGUCUUCGGAUCGUAAAACUCUGUUAUUAGGGAAGAACAAAUGUGUAAGUAACUAUGCACGUCUUGACGGUACCUAAUCGGAAAGCCACGGCUAACUACGUG